rnacentral:rRNA from 1 species
UGAAAUCUGGCUUUCGGGCCCGAGUUGUAAUUUGUAGAGGGGAUUUCGGAGGCGGCGCCGGCCUAAGUUCCUUGGAACAGGGCGUCAUAGAGGGUGAGAAUCCCGUACGUGGCCGGCGGUCAAUUCCAUGUGACACCCCUUCGACGAGUCGAGUUGUUUGGGAAUGCAGCUCAAAAUGGGUGGUAAAUUUCAUCUAAAGCUAAAUACCGGCCAGAGACCGAUAGCGCACAAGUAGAGUGAUCGAAAGAUGAAAAGCACUUUGGAAAGAGAGUUAAAAAGUACGUGAAAUUGUUGAAAGGGAAGCGCUUGCAACCAGACUUGCUCGCGGGUGAUCAGCCUCCCUUCGCGGGGGGUGCACUCGCCCGCGAUCAGGCCAGCAUCGGUUUCGACGGGCGGAUAAAGGCCCCGGGAAUGUAGCUCCCUUCGGGGAGUGUUAUAGCCUGGAGUACCAUGCGCCCAGUCGGGACCGAGGACCGCGCUUCGGCUAGGAUGCUGGCGUAAUGGUUGUAAGCGACCCGUCUUGAAACACGGACCAAGGAGUCUAACAUCUAUGCGAGUGUUUGGGUGAUAAACCCAUGCGCGGAAUGAAAGUGAACGGAGGUGGGAGCCCUUUUCGGGGGGCGCACCAUCGACCGAUCCAGAUGUCUUCGGAUGGAUUUGAGUAGGAGCAUAGCUGUUGGGACCCGAAAGAUGGUGAACUAUGCCUGGAUAGGGUGAAGCCAGAGGAAACUCUGGUGGAGGCUCGCAGCGGUUCUGACGUGCAAAUCGAUCGUCAAAUCUGGGUAUAGGGGCGAAAGACUAAUCGAACCAUCUAGUAAAUCGCUACUAGAAACACUAUAUGGCAUUCGACUACGGGCCGUAGGUGCCUCAGUAGUCCCCCUAUUACCGGGGGGCCACAUCACCGGUCUUCGGGAACACCUCUUUUCUUUUUGGGGUAACCCGCACUGAGCUCCGGCUCAGUCACAGGCUAAUUGGUGGUGGCCGUAGAACAUCUCUGCGGUUAGGAUAUAGUCGGCGGGACCUUUAGCGAGGUGCCCGGUUCGCGAGCUGGUUUCAGCCGAAGUUUCCCUCAGGAUAGCAGUAACGUUUUCAGUUUUAUGAGGUAAAGCGAAUGAUUAGAGGCCUUGGGGGUGAAACACCCUUAACCUAUUCUCA